rnacentral:lncRNA from 1 species
UCCAGAGUGUUCGAUUCUUGGUGAUCUCCUAGAAAUGGCAAUGAAGCAUAAACAUGAUAAAAGUCCAGGUACGUUAUAUAACUUAUUCCUUGUGGAAGUGUUCAAAGACUACUUUGCUACAUUUGACAAAUAUGCUACUGUUGAGUUUUAUCUUUAGUGUCAUUAAAGUUUACACGUUCAUGAACUAAAUAAUGGAUGUUUCUGAAUUAAUUUUCUUUUUUGUACACACUACAAACUUAUCUUAUACACUUGACACACUGAAAUAGAAUUAAGAAUAACAGUACUGCAGUUGAAGAGUUGCACCUUCAAUUGUCAGUUUGACGGUCCCAAAUGCAGUUUACUGGCAACACAUAGUGGAGACAGUUAAAACAGAUAUUUGAGACCUUCAAAUCAAAAUUGACGGUAGCAACUCUUUAACUACAGUACUGUUAUUCCGAUUCUAUGCAUUACAAAAAAGAAAUGAUACGUUAAAGCUUGAAAAAAAUUAUAAUUUGACAUACAAACAAAUUCCACAAAACUUCAUAAAUGAUUUUAUGCGCAAGGACGUCAUGGCUAAACCAUGACGUCAUACAAAUGAAAACUUACAAACGGGAUGUUAAUACGUUACCCCUACAAUUCAAAUUCAGAUAAAAUUUAUAUUAAAAAGGUGAAUUAGAGGAAGGUGUUAUUUUGAUUUGCGAUAUUAUUGUAGUAAUCGAACAUUUGUUCAAUUUAAAAUGGCAGGUCCUUCCUUAUUAACGCCUGGUCAAUUGUGGAUUUGACGGUAAGUUUUAGCCAAUGAAAAAAAUUGUUACAUAAAAAUUGCAUUAGAAUAAUAAAUUGAUGUUAAUAUUUUCUCUAUAUAAUGCUUACACUUCAAGCAAUUUUGGUAAUUUUCAAGAUGUGGAAAAUAAUUGUCAUUUGUAAACUUUAUUUCUUAUAUCCAUUUUAGAUAAGGUCUGUCAGUGUCAAAGUAGAACCAAAAUCCCAGCAUUUUCAUCAAUACUAACUCAACCACAAACCCCUGGAGACAAUGGCGUUAUCAAGUUUGACAAAGUUGUCACGAAUAUACUCAAUGGCUACAAUCCAACCACUGGUAUUUUUACUGCACCUGUUGCUGGAGUUUAUCAGUUUUCUUAUACAGUCAUGAGCUCUGCUGGAAAAUAUCUGCAUGUCUACCUGUCUCAUAAUAAUACCAAACAACAAAGUGUUUGGCUGAGAGGUUCUACUCAUGAGACGGAACAGCAAUAUAAUAUUAAAUCUGAAGAAAGGAGACCAUGUUUGAAGUUAAAGUCCCAUGGCAGUCAAACAAUUCAUAGUAAUAGUAAUCACUAGUAUAGUUCAUUUUCUGGAUUUCUCAUAGCACAAUAAAAGAAAUUAAACUAUAAGUUUAUUGUUAAAUUGUAGAUUGAAGAUUUGAAAGUCUGUGCCUUUUGCCAUCAAUCAAUGAUACAUUUUGUUU